UAAAGAUUCAUCGGCUGCGGAUGGCCAUGCGGCGCAUUAGCUAGUCGGCGGGGUAACGGCCCACCGAGGCGACGAUGCGUAGGGGUUCUGAGAGGAAGGUCCCCCACACUGGUACUGAGACACGGACCAGACUCCUACGGGAGGCAGCAGUGAGGAAUAUUGGUCAAUGGCCGGGAGGCUGAACCAGCCAAGUCGCGUGAGGGAAGACGGCCCUACGGGUUGUAAACCUCUUUUGUCAGGGAGCAAGAGGCGGGUCGAGACCUGCUGUGAGAGUACCUGAAGAAAAAGCAUCGGCUAACUCCGUGCCAGCAGCCGCGGUAAUACGGAGGAUGCGAGCGUUAUCCGGAUUUAUUGGGUUUAAAGGGUGCGCAGGCGGAGGCACAAGUCAGCGGUAAAAUCGCGGGGCUCAACCCCGCUCCGCCGUUGAAACUGUGUCCCUUGAGUGCGCGAAGGGUAGGCGGAAUGCGUGGUGUAGCGGUGAAAUGCAUAGAUAUCACGCAGAACUCCGAUCGCGAAGGCAGCCUACCGGCGCGCAACUGACGCUCAUGCACGAAAGCGUGGGUAUCGAACAGGAUUAGAUACCCUGGUAGUCCACGCAGUAAACGAUGAGUGCUAUCUGUCCGGCCGGAAUGACGGCUGG
rnacentral:rRNA from 1 species